CGAAGAAACUCAAAUUAAUAAAGUCGGCUCAAAGGGUGGUUAAAUACACAAAUUAAAUAAGGCUAAAAACUAACUCCGCUGUAGCACGCAAUAGUUUAAAUAAGUACAACUUCGAAAGUGGCCUUACUAAAAUAAACUUGAACCCACGACAACUAGGAGACAAACUGGGAUUAGAUACCCCACUAUGCCUAGUUAUAAACUUUGAUUUAUCCGCCAGAAUACUACGAGCAACAGCUUAAAACUCAAAGGACUUGGCGGUGCUCCACACCCCCUAGAGGAGCCUGUUCUAUAAUCGAUAAUCCACGAUAAACCUCACCAUCUAUUGCCAAUUCAGCCUAUAUACCACCGUCCAGCCCACCCUUUAAAGGAUAAACAGUAGGCACAACUAUAUACAUAAAAACGUCAGGUCAAGGUGUAGCAUAUAAGAUGGGAAGAAAUGGGCUACAUUUUCUAAAUUAGAAAAUUACGGAAAAGCUUGUGAAACUAAAGCUAUAAAGGAGGAUUUAACAGUAAAAAGAAAAAAGAGUGUUCUUUUUAAACCGGCAAUGGAGCGCGCACACACCGCCCGUCACCCUCUUCAAACAACUAUAAGCAAUAAAUAAACAAAGAUUAAAAAAAGAAGAGGCAAGUCGUAACAUGGUAAGUCUACCGGAAGGUGAACUUGGAAUAUC
rnacentral:rRNA from 1 species